CCUACGGGGGGCUGCAGUAGGGAAUCUUGCACAAUGGAGGAAACUCUGAUGCAGCGACGCCGCGUGAGUGAUGAAGGCUUUAGGGUUGUAAAGCUCUGUUCUUAGGGAAAAACACAAUGAUUGUACCUAAGGAGAAAGGACCGGCUAACUUCGUGCCAGCAGCCGCGGUAAGACGGGGGGUCCUAGCGUUGUUCGGAAUCAUUGGGCGUAAAGCGGGCGUAGGUGGCUAUGUAAGUCAGGAGUGAAAGCCCUGGGCUCAACCCAGGAAGUGCUUUUGAAACUGCGUAGCUUGAGUGUGGAAGAGGAUAGUGGAAUUCCUGGUGUAGUGGUGAAAUACGUAGAUAUCAGGAGGAACACCGGUGGCGAAGGCGGCUAUCUGGUCCAACACUGACACUGAGGCCCGAAAGCGUGGGGAUCAAACAGGAUUAGAUACCCCAGUAGUC
rnacentral:rRNA from 1 species